CCUACGGGAGGCAGCAGUGAGGAAUAUUGGUCAAUGGCCGGAAGGCUGAACCAGCCAAGCCGCGUGAAGGACGAAGGUGCCAAGCAUUGUAAACUUCUUUUGUCAAGGGACAAAAUCAGGCUCGAGAGCCUGACCGAGGGUACUUGAAGAAAAAGCAUCGGCUAACUCCGUGCCAGCAGCCGCGGUAAUACGUAGGUGGCAAGCGUUGUCCGGAUUUACUGGGUGUAAAGGGCGUGCAGCCGGGAAGACAAGUCAGAUGUGAAAUCCCGCGGCUCAACCGCGGAACUGCAUUUGAAACUGUUUUUCUUGAGUAUCGGAGAGGUAAUCGGAAUUCCUAGUGUAGCGGUGAAAUGCGUAGAUAUUAGGAAGAACACCAGUGGCGAAGGCGGAUUACUGGACGACAACUGACGGUGAGGCGCGAAAGCGUGGGGAGCAAACAGGAUUAGAUACCCGAGUAGUC
rnacentral:rRNA from 1 species